rnacentral:rRNA from 1 species
UACGGAGGGUGCAAGCGUUAUCCGGAUUCACUGGGUUUAAAGGGAGCGUAGGUGGCUUUGUAAGUCAGUGGUGAAAUCUUAGAGCUUAACUCUAAACUGCCAUUGAUACUGCUUAGCUUGAAUCACGUCGAGGUGGAUGGAAUAUUACAUGUAGCGGUGAAAUGCUUAGAUAUGUAAUAGAACACCGAUUGCGAAGGCAGUUCACUAGGCGUGUAUUGACACUGAGGCUCGAAAGCGUGGGAUCAAACAGG